rnacentral:lncRNA from 1 species
UCCCAGAAGGUUGCCGCUAUGCAUCAAUACACAGUCGUUUCACGCCACAGGUUUCAAUUACCGUAAUGCAAAGGUUGCGAGCUCUUCAAUUUAGGGAAUCUGGUUCACCUAUUAUGACUCUUUAUAGCGAGGCAAAAUGGUUACGCCUGUUGGAUUUACAUGAUUCCAAAAUUUCUAUGUUGNAAAGCAUUGGCGCGUGCGUUCCGGCCCCCACCAUAAUUAUUGGAGACACAGCACAAUAAUUGGAGCAAUCAUCUUCCACUGGUGGAGGAGCAUCCCCUUAUCAUCCUCUGCUUCUCUGUAGUAGGACGUUCGUAUUGAGAAGGAUUAGGCAGCAGCACGCGCGCGCGAUGGCGGAGGGGAUCGCAUUCGAAUUGGUGACGGGAGUGCUGGGCAAGCUGGGCUCCGCUCUCGGGGACGAAAUCGGGCUGCUGCGGAGCUUCAAGGACGACGCGGACGACCUCCGAAGCAACUUCUCUGCGAUCCAGGCGGUGCUUCUCGACGCCGAGGAGCGAAGCAGCGCUGGGAAGGAGAGCCACGCUCUGCGCGACUGGCUGCGCAAACUGAAGGACGCCGCCUACGACGCCGACGACCUGCUGGACGAGAUCCGGACGCAACAGCAGUACCCCGAGGUGCAGAAUCAUCAACACCAGCCAGCUGGAAAGGUACGUGGAUUUCUGUCCCGCGCUAAUCCGAUGCAUCUGAAGUUUAAGGUCAAGAUGGCGCACAGGAUGAAAGCGCUCAGAGAAAAGAUCGGUAAGAUCGCGAAACAGAGGCAUGAUUUCGGUCUUGCCGAAGCUGGCCCUCUUGGACAGGCUGAGUUCAAGCGCCCUGAGACAUUCUCGGUCGUCGACGAAAAGACAAUAGUGGGGAGAGAUGGUGAUAAAGAGGAAAUUGUGAACCUUCUCCUAGAGACUAACAGCGAUCACGACGUGUCGGUCAUUCCGAUCGUGGGAUUGGGGGGAUUGGGGAAGACGACGCUUGCUCAGCUGGCCUACAACGACGAGCGGGUUACGGACGAGCUGGUUACGGGCCAGAAGCGCUUUGAUCUACGGGUGUGGGUCUGCGUGUCUACCGAUUUCCACAUGAAGACGAUUGCAAAGCCGGUGAUAUCUGCAGCUGGAGAAAAUUGUGCUCUUGAUAACUCGGAUGCCGUUGCCACUUGCCUUGUCAGGAUCUUUAGCCAGAAGAGAUUUUUGCUGGUGCUGGAUGAUGUAUGGAACGAAGAUCAGAAUAAGUGGAAGGAAUUGAAUGUUGUAUUUAAGAACAGCAAGAAGGGAAGUAAAGUCUUAGUGACCACGCGGAGCGAAAAGGUUGCCGAGAUAAUGAAAACAGUCAAACCGCACCGUGUGAAAGGCUUAUCAGAUGAUGAUUGUUGGACAUUGUUCAAAAGACGGGUAUUCGAUGAUGGGGAAGAGAACUACUAUCCGAGUUUGGUCGCAAUCGGAAAGCAGAUAGUUAAGAAGUGCGGCGGUGUGCCGUUAGCAGCAAAUGCUUUAGGAAGUAUGAUGCGCUUUAAGAGCAGGACAGAGGAUGCAUGGUCCGCUAUUAGAGAUAGCGAAAUUUGGAGUCUGAAAGAAGAGAAAACUAUUUUACCAUCGUUAAAGUUGAGCUACAUUCAGAUGCCGUCGGCUUUGAAGCAGUGCUUUUGUGACGCCCCAACUUCCCAGGAGGUCACCCAUCCUAGGACUACUCCCGUCCUAGCACGCUUAACUCUCUUAACCUCUUAGGCCUUGCUACCACCCAAAAUGCUUAAGCUGGGUUAAGAGUUUAGCCCUAUUAUAUCUUGUAUAUAGGACUACCCGGGGUCUCACAGCUUUGCUUACUGCUCCAUAUUCCCCAAAGACUAUGAGAUUGACAAGGAUGACUUGAUCCGGCAAUGGAUUGCUUUAGGCUUCAUUUCAUCGCAUGAAACAUGGACUUCGACGGAAGAUAUUGGGAAUGAGUACUUUAACAAUCUAUUAUGGAUGUCUUUCCUUCAAGACGUGAAGGAAAAUUAUAGAAAGGUUACCACCUGUCGGAUGCAUGAUUUAGUGCACGACCUCGCACAAUCUGUAGCAAGAGAAGAAGUUGCUGCUAUAGUUGGAAAAGAGUCAACAGGGUUCCCGGAAGGUUGUCGCUAUGCAUCAAUACACAGUAGUUUCAUGCCACAGAUUCCAACCACAGUAGUGCGGAGGUUGCGAGCUCUUCAAUUUAGGAAAUCUGGUUCACUUAUUAUGGAUUUUUAUAGCGAUGCAAAAUGCUUAUGCCUGUUGGAUUUACAUGGUUCCAAAAUUUCUAUGCUGCCAAGCUCAAUCGGUAAGUUGAAGCUCAUANUAAGAUACCUCAACCUUUCGAAGAACAGUAUACAAGAAUUGCCUGAAUCAACUACCAGCCUCUGCAACUUGCAAACCUUGAAUCUUUCACGCUGCCGCGAGAUCCGUACAUUACCCAAAUUUCUAGGAAGGCUUACGAAUUUGCGGAUUUUAGAUUUAGGAGGUUGCCUAUCUCUGACAAUACUGGACUCCAUUAGCAACCUUCAGAAUUUGUACACACUAGAUUUGAGUUGGUGCCAAAAGGUGAUAUCACUUGAACCUAUAUGUCACCUCAAAAACCUGCAUGACUUAAACCUAUCAUGUCUAAAAUCUUUGGUGGCAUUACCUGAAUCCAUUGGGAGCCUUCAAAACUUGCGUAUUCUGAACCUUUCUUGGUGCUAUUCCCUACUAUCAUUACCCUCAUCGUUAUGUCACCUCAAAAACCUGCAUAGGUGCUCUUCUCUAGAAUCGUUACCCUCAUCGUUAUGUCACCUCAAAAACCUGCAUCACUUAAACCUAUCGUGUCUAAAUUCUUUGGUGGCAUUACCUGAAUCCAUUGGGAGCCUUCAAAACUUGCAUAUUCUGAACGUUUCUGAAUGCUCGUCUCUAGAAUCAUUACCCUCAUCGUCAAGUGAUCUUCAGCAUUUAGAGAAACUCGACAUCCGUGAUUGUGGAAAAUUAUGUGAGCUGCCUAAAAUGAUCCAAAAGCUGACCAAACUUAGAGUCUUGUUAAACAACAAUUGCUCGGAAUUGAAGGGCAUGCCCCGAGGGAUCGGCAAGUUAGUUAGCUUGCAGGAAUUGUCCGUUUUUGUCGUCGGCAAGCAAGACCGCGUCGAACAUUGUGCCAGCAUCUCUGAGCUAGAGCACUUGAAGCUUGUCGGCCAGCUGCGGAUCAAGGGUCUCGAGAAUGUGACGAGUCCGGUUGAUGCCAAGGCUGCAAAUUUGAUAGAGAAGAACCUGCGGUCUUUGAAGUUGGAAUGGAACGUUUUAAGCGCAGAAGAAGCCGUGUUAGAAAAUCUUCAACCACAUCAAAAGCUAGAGAAUUUGGAAAUAGGAGGCUAUGGAGGCGGGAAGUUUCCUAGCUGGAUGAUGAACAGGAUUGGCUCGUGCCUCCCAAAUCUCGUUAAAAUCAAACUAGCGAAUAUGCCCGGAUGCAGCUCACUUCCGCAGCUGGGGCAACUUCCUUUUCUUGAAGAACUGACUAUACGAAACAUGCCCGCGGUAACAAAUUUGGGCGUAGAUAAGUUCCCUGCGCUGACGACACUUGAGUUGUCCUCCAUGCCGGAGCUGCGAGAAUGGGUGACUGUGUUGACGGUGGAUGACGAAGAAGGCAGGCGAGAGCGAGUUCCCAUUUUUCCGCGUCUCACUCAAUUGUGGCUUAAAGGAUGUCCUCAAUUGAGGCCGGAGCCUUGCGUCCCGCCAUCGGUUAAGUAUCUGACCAUUUCUAGAGCAAGCAAGGAGAAUCUAUCGUUGAUACUCGAACGCGCGAUGCCAUUUGGAGGCGGUGAUGCCGCCGUUUCACCCCAACCGCCACCAGAUAAGGGGCUGCGGGAUCUAGUAAUAAACGAAUGUCAGCAGCUUACCUGUUUGCCCGAGAGCUUGCGGGGUCUCACGUCCCUCCAGCGGCUGAGAAUAUCUGAUUGUGAAGAUCUUGAGAGAAUUGAAGAUUGGCUCGGGGAGCUCUCCGACCUGCAGUCCUUGGAGAUCUGGGAGUGCAGCAGUCUCCGUUACUUGCCUGCGCACAAGAUGACCACACUUCAGGAGUUAGAUAUUAACAAGUGCCCCCUGUUGUUCGAUGCGGACGGACGAUUUGUCGACACCAGUGUCGAUCACAUCAAAAAUGUCGAAGUUGAUGGGAGGUAAUUAAUUUGGAACUCUGACUACUCUUUAAUUAAUGAGCUAGCACCUUAAUAUUCUAUUGUAGCUAGCAUGAACAUCUCGGUUUUUUUUUUNCUCUGCAACUUGCAAGCCUUGAAUCUUUCAGGCUGCCGUGAGAUCCGUACAUUACCCAAAUUUCUAGGAAGGCUUACGAAUUUGCGGAUUUUAGAUUUAAGGGAUUGCCCAUCUCUGACAAUACCUGACUCCAUUAGCAACCUGCAGAAUUUGUAUGCACUAAAUUUGAGUUUGUGCAAAAACGUGAUAUCACUUGAACCUAUAUGUCACCUCAAAAACCUGCAUUACCUAGACCUAUCAUAUCUAGAUUCUUUGGUGGCAUUACCUGAAUCCAUUGGAAGCCUUCAAAAUUUGCGUGGUCUCAACCUUUCUAGCUGCUCUUCUCUAGAAUGGUUACCCUCAUCAUUAUGUCACCUCAAAAACCUGCAUCUCUUAAACCUAUCAAAUCUAGAAUCUUUGGUGGCAUUACCUGAAUGCAUUGGGAGCCUUCAAAACUUGCGUAUUUUGAGCCUUUUUGGCUGCUCUUCUCUAAAAUCAUUACCCUCAUCAUUAUGUGAUCUCAAAAACCUGCAUGACUUAAACCUAUCACGUCUAAAAUCUUUGGUGGCAUUACCUGAAUCCAUUGGGAGCCUUCAAAACUUGCGUAUUCUGAAUGUUUCUAAAUGCUAUUCUCUACUAUCGUUACCCUCAUCGUCAAGUGAUCUUCAGCAUUUAGAGAAACUCGACAUCAGUGGUUGUAAAAAAUUAUGUGAGCUGCCUAAAAUGAUCCGAAAGCUGACCAAACUUAGGGUCUUGUUAAACAACAAGUGCUCAGAAUUGAAGGGCAUGCCCCGAGGGAUCAGCAAGUUAGUUAGCUUGCAGGAAUUGUCCGUUUUUGUCGUCGGCAAGCAAGACCGCGUGGAACAUUGUGCCAGCAUCUCUGAGCUCGAGCACCUUAAGCUUGUCGGCGAGCUGGAGAUCAAGGGUCUUGAAAAUGUGACGAGUCCGGUUCAUGCCAAGGCUGCAAAUUUGAUAGAGAAGAACCUGCGGAAUUUGAAGUUGGAAUGGAAAGUUUUAAGUGCGGAAGAAGGCACGGAUAGUACUGUACUACCGGUGGAAGAGAUCGAAACCGUGCUUGAAAAUCUUCAACCACAUCAAAAGCUAGAGAAUUUGAAAAUAGAAGGCUAUGGAGGCGGGAAGUUUCCUAGCUGGAUGAUGAAUAGGAUUGGCUCGUGCCUCCCUAAUCUACUUCAAAUCGAACUAGCGGAUAUGCCCGGAUGCAGCUCACUUCCGCAGCUGGGGCAACUUCCUUUUCUUAAAGAACUAACUAUACGAAAUAUGCCCGCAGUAACAAAUUUGGGGGUAGAUAAGUUCCCUGCGCUGACGAGACUUGACUUGUCCUCCAUGCCGGUGCUGCGAGAAUGGGUGACUGUGUUGACGGUGGACGACGAAGAAGGCAGGCGAGAGCGAGUUCCCAUUUUUCCGCGUCUCACUGGAUUGUGGCUUAAAGAAUGUCCUCAGUUGAGGCCGGAGCCUUGCCUGCCGCCAUCGGUUUUGAUUAUGAUCAUUUCUAGAACAAGCAGCGAGAAUCUAUCGUUAAUUCUCGAACGCGCGACGCCAUUUGGUGAUGGUAAUGCCGCCGUUUCACACCAACCGCCACCAGAUAAGGGGCUGCAGGAUCUAGUAAUAAACGAAUGUCAGCAGCUAACUUGUUUGCCCGAGAGCUUGCGGGGUCUCACGUCCCUCCAGCGCCUGGACAUAUGGGGUUGCCAUGAUCUUGGGAGAAUUGAAGAUUGGCUCGGGGAGCUCUCCGACCUGCAGUCCUUGACCAUCUCGAAGUGCCGCAGUCUCCGUUACUUGCCUGCCCGCAAGAUGGCCGCACUUCAGAUGUUAUCUAUCGGGAAUUGCCCGCUGUUGUUCGAUGCAGACGGACAAUUUGUCGACACCAGUGUCGAUCACAUCAAAGAAGUCUAUGUUAAUGGAAGGUAAUUAAUUUGGAACUCUGACUACUCUUUAAUUAAUUAGCUGGCUAGCACCUAAAUAUUAAUUCUAUCGUAGCUAGCAUAAACAUCUCUUUUUCUUUUUCUUUUUUUUUUCUAAAUAUUCGGAUGGAAAACUUUCAAUUAGCCCCACCGCACCUGAUUCAGAGCAUUUUCGUUUGCUAUGAAAUAUUUCAUUUUGCUAUUUUAUAGUUUUGUUUUUAUUUUCUUGCAAAAAUCUUCUACAAGAAAGAAAAAAGAAACAAAUUAAAGUGCUAAAAUGUAUGAAUUAUAAGGCUGUCAAUUAAUUUAUUUUACAAACCACAUAGGGACUGUGUGAAAUAUAUAUAUAUAAUCAUUUUAGUAUUUUAUGGUUUAUAAAUUUAUCACUUUAAUACUCCACUUUAAUUACUUGAGAUUGGAUAUAAUCAUAGGAUUUUCAAGUAAAACUAUUUAAAACGUAGUGUGGCAAAAAGAAAACACAUUAAACUACAUUUCAAUAUCAAAAGUGCAAUUAAGAUAUUCGAAAACAUGGUUGGUUUUCUGGAAAAAUUUUCAAGUGGUCUCUUGCAUGUGCAUAGACUAAUUAAUGAAAUUUUAAUCUUUUCUUAAUUUGUAGCGAUUUGAGAUGCCAGAAAAUUUCUACUUGAACGAUAUAUAGUAUUUACAAAGUAAUUAUUUUCAGUGAUAUUGUUGAUAUACUAUUUGAGUCCUUGGAUAUUUUUUUUUACAAAUUGAAAUUAGGUAUCUUAUAUAUCAUACAUUAUUAAAAUGUCUAAGCAAAAUGUCCAGCACAUGUUGCACGAGCGUCGGAUAAAAAAUAACCAUUUUGUGUUGUUGUGUUGUAGUUCUUACCGGUACAAGAAACAAGCGAGCAGCUCACCACAGGAGGAAGAGAGCUCAGCGAAGGAGGAGAAGAAGAUUGGUUAGCGAGNGAAAAAUUUCUACUUGAACGAUAUAUAGUAUUUACAAAGUAACUAUUUUUGGUCAUAUUGUUGAUAUAUUAUUCAAGUCCUGGAAUAUUUUUCUUUAUAAAUUGAAAUCAGGUAUGUUAUAUAUCAUACGUUAUUAGAAAGUCUAAGCAAAAUGUGCAGCACAUAUAUACUGCACGAGCGUCGAAUAAAAAAGUAACUAUUUUGUGUUGUUGUGGUGUAGAAAAUACCCGUACAAGGAACAAGCGAGCAGCUCGCCACAUGUGGAAGAGAGCUCACCGAAGGAGGAGGAGGAGAAGAAGAUUGGUUAGCGAGGAGAGCAUAAGUAUAUGUACCUAUUAUUUGGAGGUAAAAAGAUAUUAGAUAUUAUCUAAACUAUACUGCACUUUGAAAGCGGCCAAUUGGGCUUUACGAAAUUCGAUUUUAAUUCGAUUUUGACAUAAGAAAUUUUCUUUGAAAGAUUUGUUAGAUCCUUUUAGAAUUUAGUCUCUUCCGUUAAACAAAGUGCAGAAUGUUUCAUAAAAUAACAAAAUAUUUUUUUUAUCAAAUUUUAAAAUAUUUUAUCAAAAAAUGUUAAGUAACCUUUCAAAUUCUCUAUGGAACAUAAUAAACACGGCGGAAAGUUAGAGAGUAGAAUUAAAUUUUUUAAAGUUCNAUAUAUAUAUAUAUAUAUAUAUAUAUAUAUAAUUGAGCCAGAAUACUGUUAAAAGAACCAACCCCUUGGUACUUUUGAGUUUCUAGCCCUUGGAUCUACUCCUUGAUUAUUAAUAAUCUUUGAAUCAAACACUAUUCCACCUACCACCACUUACCACCAUCAUCUCAACCCUACAUCUUUCCAUUCAAUAGCUAAAAACUCAAAAGCACCAAUCCCUUGGUGCUUUUGAGAGUAUUCUAGUUCAACUCUUCCUCUCUCUCUCUCUCUCUCUCUCUCUAUAUAUAUAUAUAUAUUAGUAUUUUAUGGUUUAUAAAUUUUAGCACUUUAGUACUCUACUCUACUUUAGAUAGGUUCUUAUGAUCGUAUAUAAUUAAAAAAAAAAUCCAUAGGAUUUUCAAGUAAAACUAUUUAAAACGUAUGGCGGCAAAAUGAAAACGGGUUAAACCACAUUUCAAUAUCAAAAGUGCAGUUAAGAUAUUCGAAAACAUGGUUGGUUUUCUGGAAAAAAAUUCAAGUGGUCUCUUGCAUGUACAUAGAGUAAUUAAUGAAAUUUUAACCUUUUCUUAAUUUGUAGCGAUUUGAGAUGCUGGAAAAUUUCUACUUGAACGAUAUAUAGUAUUUACAAAGUAAUUAUUUUCGGUCAUAUUGUUAAUACACUAUUCAAGUUCUGGGAUAUUUUUCUUUACAAAUUGAAAUCAGCUAUGUUAUAUAUCAUACGUUAUUAGAAAGUCUAACCAAAAUGUACAAUACAUAUAUGCUGCACGAGCGUCGGAUAAAAAAGUAAUCAUUUUGUGUUGUUGUGCUGUAGAAAAUACCCGUACAAGGAACAAGCGAGCAGCUCACCACAUGUGGAAAAGAGCUCACCGAAGGAGGAGAAGGAGAAGAAGAUUGGUUAGCGAGGAGAGCAUAAGUAUAUAUACCUAUUAUUUGGAGGUAAAAGGAUAUUAGAUAUUAUAUCUAUACUAUACUGCACUUUGAAAGUGGCCAAUUGGGCUUUAUGAAUUUUGAUAUUAAUUCGAUUUUAAUUCAAUUUUGAUAUAAGAAAUUUUCUUUGAAAGAUUUGUUAGAUCUUUUUAGAAUUUAGUCUCUUCCGUUAAACAAAGUGCAGAAUGUUUCAUAAAAUAAAAAAUAAUUUUUUAAUCAAAUUUUAAAAUAUUUUAUCAAAAAAUGUUAAGUAUCUCAAAGGACCAUAAUAAGCACUGCGGAAAGUUAGAGAGUAGAAUUAAAUUUUUUAAAGUUCAGUUAUUUAUCUCAAAGCGUAGUAUAGCUCACGUAAGAAUCAUUCUCUUUUAGCUUAUUUGGUGAUCACUAUUCCCCUUUGAGAAGAGUUUUCUUUUUCCCUUUGUUUUGCCAAAAAUAAACAAAUUUUAUAUAUCUACAUGCAAUGGUGACAGUUUUUAUUCAUAAACUUGUGGCCUUCUCUUUCAAGUUGGUGCUAUUUAGCUUUCCGGACAAGAAUUGUAGUGUGCUGUUGUCGGGUUAAUAUAUAUUUGUGUUUUCGUGAUAUAAAUUUAGUUUCGGAAUGUACUAUUUUAUAAUUUGGUUUGAUUGUUGGUAAUUUUAUGGUGUUCUCUAUAUAUGUUAUGGGCUUGAAAAAGAUUGUUUGGUUUGAAUAAACAAAAUGUUGCUACUUUUUUAAUACGGAUAUUAGAGGGUACAUUAAUUUUUAAGUAAAUCUCACGUAGAGUUUAUUACUAGCUAGUAUAUAUGCAUUGUGUUACGAACUUGUUUAAAAUCAGAUGCUGUUUUUGGCAUGCAAGUUGAAGCUAGUAUAUAUGUAUGUACCGCAGUUGAGAGGGUUAAUUUCCAUCUAUGUUUACUUUAAUUUAUCUUUUCUUUUAUUUGAUUAGAUCCGAAUUAAGCCGAUAAAUUUUAAAGUAUUAAAAGUUUUAUUAUUUUGCUUUCUGCAAGAUUUUUAGUUUUUAAAUUCNUGAAGUACUAAAAUUUUAUUAAUUUUCUUUUCGCAAGAUUUUUAGUUUUUAAUUCCCCAAAUUCGAAAUCAAUUUAUUACUAAAAUCAAACUUGAGGUGCUUUUCCCAUUUGGUUUUCACGAAACGUGUGGUUUAAAUGGGAAUAUAGAUUUAUGUUGCCGCACAAUUUAAUUUAUUUGAUUUAAGCGAUUUGAUUACUUUUUUAAUAUAAAAUUUAGAAUAAUUAUUUAUUUCAAUAAAUUUAUAUUUGCAUAAUUAAAAAUAUAUUUAAAAUUUUAAAGUCAAAGAGUCAUUAGUUGAUUUAAAUCAAAUAAAUUAAAAGAUUAUAUAGCAAAAUUAAAAUUUUUAAAGAUUAGAUAAUCAGAUUAAAAGAACUGACAGUCGGGGCGAGUUAUAUAAAUUUUUGACUUUUUUAUCCAAGAAAUCUGGAAAAUUAAAAGAGGUAUUUACUUCAAAAUAUGUUAAACUAUUAUUAUUAUUAUUAUUAUUAUUAUUUUACCAUAAAGCAUUUUCGAGAACCUAACAUUUGGGACCAACCGUAAAAAUAAUAAGAAAAAUUGUGCGAAAUUAACUGAAAAUUUAUUUUAUUGAAAAUCUCACCGUGAAUUUUUUUUUUUAUUGUCUAUUCUUUCUGAUUUGAGUUUGCUUUUCUUCUUCUUUUUUUUUGGGAAAAUGCAGUAUGCAUAAUUGAUCCUUGAUUUAUACUAUAGUUUCAGCUUAACAACUGGAAAAAAAAAUGCUAUAAAAAUUAAAUAUGUGGAUAAAAUAUUAAGGUAUCGCAUAAAUAUAACCGCAUAGUUCUUCAAUAACAAUUAAGCACAAUUUUAUAGCUUCGGACGAGAAAAGAUUAGAAGCAGUUUUAAAAUUUUUGGACCUUUCAAAAUAUGAAAAUGUUGCUUCUUACCACUACGUUCCUAAAGAAAGUUGGGUUAGUUGCAAUUUUUUAUACUUACGAAUUAAAUGAAUGAAAUACAAUAAAAAGAAAAUAUUAAGGAUGAAUAAAACCUUGGUGCAUCACCUGUUUGGAUGCACCAGGUGUAGGCAGUGAUUUUUCAUAAAACGAAAUCGUAAAGCGUUAAAGAAUAGGUAGUCAAAUUAAUUUAAAUUUUUAAAUAUUAGAUAAUUAAUUUCAAAUUAUAAAAGUUCAGAUUAAUUAAGUACAUUUUUAUACCCAAAAAUUAAACACAGCAACAACAACAACAACAUGACCACUGCAAAGAGGGGUCUUUCUUUCUCAUAAAGAACAGGGCAUCCCGUGCACCAAGAUACGAAUUUGGUUGAUCAAGAGAGAAAAUUUUGGCUCUCCAAUAGAUAGAACAAAAACUUGCUGCAUACAAUUGUGGAGCAAAGCCUUUUUUAAAAUAAAAAAGGUGAUAAAACCUUAAUUAGCAAGAGAUGUUUUAUGUACGAAAUUAUUUUUAUUUUUAUUUUUUAAGAGAUAGGUAGCACGCCACCUACUUCGUUUAUUUCAUUUAGAAAUAAACUUAGCUGAAAAUAUGAAUCAACUAGGAUUCGAACUUGGGUCUCGGGUACUAACCACUAAGCCCUUUGCCACUUGCUUUAGGAACGGUCGGUUAUGUACGAUAAAUUAACAAGUGCAUUUAUGUAUGGUAACUUGGUAACGGUUAUACCUUCCUACUUGUACUGUUUGGAUUCAUUAGUGAUAUUUGCAGUUUGUUAUGAAUGCAUUAAGCAGUGCAAUGUGUACGUAUGCUUCAAAAGCUAGGUGUUUCGCCAAAUAAUUAAUCGAAUGGUUUAAGCUAGGUGUGUUGCCCAAAGAUUCAAAUAAAUGGUUCAAGUUAGGGGUUUUUUAAAAAAAUUCUUGUUAAGUAUUGGAUGGAUCUUUGCUUCAAUCUGAGCAGUUUUGGAGUUAACAGCUUGUUUUGGAUACUCUCUAAUACUAUUUUUUGAAAUAGAGUUGUUACUGUUAAGUGUUAAAUAUAAAAAUGUUUAAAUACCGUUUUCUAACAAUUUAAGCUUUUAGAGUACAACGGUUAUUUCACAUGGUAUCAGAGCAGGAGGUUCUAAGUUCGAGUCACGCUAGGCUCCUAGCAUAUUAAUUUUCUUCCAUUUAAUUCAAGCCCACGUCAUGGGCCGAUUAAAAAGUUUUGAGCCCAGACGUGAGGGGGAGUGUUAAGUGUUAAAUAUAAAAAUGUUUAAACACCGUUCUCUAAGUACAACGGUUGUUUCACAGUUACUACAGUUACUCCUCUUGUUGAUGUACUGCAGUACUGGGUGAUGCUACUGGUGUCUUUGAAUGAUGAGUUUAGACCAAUAGCAGCUAAGUUAAAAAUUGAAACAGUUUCAAUCUUAAAACUUCUAAAUAAUAAUAGUAUUUAAGAUUGCUUUUAGUUUUAGCUCAGCAUCUAAAUUGUUCUCCAGCAAUCCAUACAUAUUUGCCUUUUGAUGUAGAAUCAUUGGGCAUACACUUCACAGUUUAAGAAAAGCUGCAUAAUAGAAAAGCUGCAAAAUCAUAAAUAGAAUGAGUGCAUAAAUAGAAGAGAAUUAAUUAAUAACAUUGAUGUCUAAAACAAAUUUCUCCUUCAUGAAGUUUUGAGUCAUCAUCCUACUUGCUUCAUUUCUCUCGCUGCCAUCAACAUGCAUCUUGGAUGCAUUAGGAUUUACUUAAAGUGACAACAAAAGUGAACAAAAACCAAAGCAAAAUAAAAAAGCAAAAUAAAGGAGUAGCAACAAAUAAAAACAAUAAACUCUGAAAGGCAUUAACAUAGAUUGAAGCCAAAUGCACAGCUAAACAAGUAGCGUGGGUCAGUCCAUAAAAAUCUCUAGAUGCUGCAUGUAGUCCUCUAAAUCUUGCAAUUUAUCUGAAAUAAAAAGAGAUGCAUCAUGUGCAGAAGUAUGUAACACUAAGGAUUGCAGAUGUAGGCGAUCUGAUCAUGAGCAACUACAAACUAUGGCUGGCACACAUUUAUUUAAUUAUAUUUUACUUGUUCACUAAGCGGAGAGCCAGCUCAGCCACCAUGAUCAUUGCUCUCUUUUACGAAGUGGGGCGUGUGAAAUUGCCCCACUCUACUUUUAUUUUUUUCACUUAUAUUUAUUUGUCUCAAUUAGAUCUCUAUAUUAAUAACAAUGUUAUUUUCUUUUUUGUUUUAAACCUAUGUUAAGACCAUCAAGAGUUGAGUAGCAGUUGAGAUCUAUGGCAAUGGUGACAACAAUGAAAAACAAAUGAGCUGUUGUCUCUAAUAAUAUAAUGAGAAUGCCAAUUUAAUUUUAAUUUGAAUCCGUAAAUUUAAAUUUUAAUUUGAAUCCAUAAAUUUAAUUUAAGUUUGAAAUAAAAUUUCAAUAAAAUNCAGUAAGUCUAUUGAUCUGUCGUAGAGAAAGAGUUGUUAUUUAAUUUAUGAAGAAAUAUAACUUCAAAAUAAGAAAUACGACUGGUGCAUUCAAAAGUAGAGUGUAAAUCUAAGAUUUAUCCUCAAUAUGAAAUUUGUUUAAAAUCUCAUCUUAGCAUCCUUUCAGUGUAAGGACUAGUUUACUGGAAUAGGCUUUGGCAUCCUACCUAAUUCCAUAUAACGUUUUGAUUCUGGUGGUCGCAGUAGGGUAAAUUUGAAUUUAUCAAAUCAACUUAUCAUGACACAUAACUUCUCUUUGCUUUUCCUUUUUUGUUUUUCCUUUUCUUUUUGGAUAAAAGCCUUCCCAUGCUUGUAUGCAAGAGAUUAUAACGGGAUUGCUUAUGAAUAUAAGAGAAGAUUGAUGUUUAUUUUUUGAAAUUUGUUGUUUGUCUGACGAUCCUGAUUAAAUAAUAUGAAGUACAUAUCUCUGUUUCUUACAUUUAUUUGAUCUUUAUAUACGUUUCAUUUUGGUCCUCAAACUUUCAAGUUCCGAGACUAUGAACUCUUAAAAUAUUUUGCACAUCUACCGUUAGAUGGUAAUUUAUUGCCUAAACCUAAUAUACGUGUACUACAUAUUUGUAUACUUAUUUAUCGACUCUGUACUGUUAUGUUAUUUCUACAUUGCCGCUUGUAGAUUUACAAUUUUUUUUUUUUAAUUUAGAAAUUAGAGUAUUGAAUUGAAAGUAUGAGAUGAGAGAUGGGUUGAUGAAUUUGUGGUGCACAAACAUGCCGGUAACAUUUUCCAAGGUAUCGCUGUUCAUUAUUUUGAGGAAUAAUAUAUUUUAUUAUGAGAUAAUUUAUCUUUCCGUGAAAAAAUUGAAUUUUAGGCUAAAUAUUUUAUCCAUUCUAGGAGUUUUCUUAUACUCCUCACAGUAUGAAAUAAUUGCACAAAGCUAGAGUUUCUAUUUUGCACAAACUUAAAUUAACCCCUCCUAUGAUUUACUGUAUUUUUUUAAUUCUGCAAUCGUGCGACUUAGAAGUUUUAUUUUGCUAUCCCAUAGUUUUGUCUUUGUUCUACCGUAACAAUUUGUCAUUAAAUAGAAUAGUAAUGUAAGAUUAUUGUAAAUUAUAAUAAUAAUAUGGUUUGUAAAUUAUAAUAAUUUAGUUACAUGUGGUUUAUAAGUUACACUAUUUUCGCAACUAAUUCAACUGAAGGGCCUUAUAGUGAUAAAAAAAAAAUUAAAAAUUUAAAAACAAGGGCAAUAUGUCAAAGCCAAAGUUUUUUUAACCACAUAUUGAAAAAGUGAAAAUAUGCUAAUUUAUAGGGGGCUAAUUAGAAGUUUAUUACAUCCUCUUUUAUAGCGCUAUUCCAUCCAAAGGCCUACAUUUUCACACUAAUUUUAUCAAUUUUUUCUUUGUUCAUAUUAAAAACUUAAAAGUAUUGUGUAAUUUUUUAAAUAUGUGAGUAUAAGAUUUACACUGCACUUUUGAGUGGGUAUAAUAUAUAAAAAGAAUAAAAGCUAAAUCUUAAAAUUCAUCCGUUGACUUAUCAUCCACAUUAUCAGUCAAAAUUUUUAUUUGGACAAGAGUGAUUUUUCAAUCUCUUUUUUUAUUACAUUUGUCACCUAAACAAUUUCAAUAGCAUUUGGAGGUACCAUCUGGAUUUAGGGUUGAGGGUUUGUUCGUAAACUUCGAUUGGCGAAAGUGGUAGCAACGUGCAUGUACUAAAUUGCAUAAGAGUAAAGUCGCAAAAACGUAAAGAGAAUCGGUUCACAAAUAGAAGACGAUUUUAAUUAAUAGCAUUGAUGUCUAAAAAAAAAUUUCUCCUUCAUAAAGUUUUGAGUCAUCAUCCUACUCGCUUUCUUCAUUAAUUACCAUCGCCGCCAUCAACAUGCAUCUUUGAUGCAUCAGGAUUUACCUGAAGUGAAAAGUCCUCCUUUAAGGGACCUUGCAAAAAAAAAAAAAAAAAAAAAAGAAGGUCCCCCUCCUCCUUAAACAUCUUCGUUGCGGUUUUAUUCGUUUCCUCCUUUCCAAGCACGAGAGAGGGGGAAAAAAAAAACCAACAAAGGGAGCUUGCUUCUCUGCCUCUUUAUCCGAAAAUAUUUUUAUAAAUUGUACAAUUGGGUAAAGAUUGAUCAUUGACCCAUGGGGUGUAUUUCACUAGUUACAUUGAUGUUAUUAGUAAAAUACACUUUAUUUUUAAAUAGAUGGGGUGUAUAUUCUAUACCCAAUGAAUGUAUAAGUAAGAGUUUUAAAAAAAAAACAAAAAAAAAGAGUAAAAAAAAAAAAGCAUUGGCGCGUGCGUUCCGGCCCCCACCAUAAUUAUUGGAGACACAGCACAAUAAUUGGAGCAAUCAUCUUCCACUGGUGGAGGAGCAUCCCCUUAUCAUCCUCUGCUUCUCUGUAGUAGGACGUUCGUAUUGAGAAGGAUUAGGCAGCAGCACGCGCGCGCGAUGGNAAAGCAUUGGCGCGUGCGUUCCGGCCCCCACCAUAAUUAUUGGAGACACAGCACAAUAAUUGGAGCAAUCAUCUUCCACUGGUGGAGGAGCAUCCCCUUAUCAUCCUCUGCUUCUCUGUAGUAGGACGUUCGUAUUGAGAAGGAUUAGGCAGCAGCACGCGCGAGCGAUGGCGGAGGGGAUCGCAUUCGACUUGGUCGAAGGAGUGCUGGGCAAGCUGGGCUCCGCUCUCUGGGACGAAAUCGGGCUGCUGCGGAGCUUCAAGGACGACGCGGACGACCUCAGAAGCAACUUCUCGGCGAUCCAGGCGGUGCUUCUCGACGCCGAGGAGCGAAGCAGCCCUGGGAAGGAGACCCACGCUCUGCGCGACUGGCUGCGCAAACUGAAGGACGCCGCCUACGACGCCGACGGCCUGCUGGACGAGAUCCGGACGCAAGCGGCCCUCCGGCAACAACAGCAUCCGGAGGUGCAGAAUCAAAACCAGCCAGCUGAAAAGGUACGUGAAUUCCUGUCCCACGCUAAUCCGAUGCGUCUGAAGUUUAAGGUCAAGAUGGCACACAGGAUGAAAGAGCUCAGAGAGAAGAUCGGUAAGAUCGCGAAACAGAGGCAUGAUUUCGGUCUUGCCGAAGCUGACCCUCUUCGACAGGCUGAGUUCAAGCGCCCUGAGACAUUCUCGGUUGUCGACGAAAAGACAAUAGUCGGGAGAGAUGGUGAUAAAGAGGAAAUUGUGAAGCUUCUCCUAGAGACUAACAGCGAUCACGACGUGUCGGUCAUUCCGAUCGUGGGAUUGGGGGGUUUGGGGAAGACGACGCUUGCUCAGCUGGCCUACAACGACGAGCGGGUUACGGACGAGUUGGUUAUGGGCCAGCAGCGAUUUGAUCUACGGGUGUGGGUCUGCGUGUCUACCGAUUUCCACAUGAAGAAGAUUGCAAAGCCGGUGAUAUCUGCAGCUGGAGAAAAUUGUGCUCUUGAUAACUCGGAUGCCGUCGCCAGUUGCCUUGUCAGGAUCUUUAGCCAGAAGAGAUUCUUGCUGGUGUUGGAUGAUGUGUGGAACGAAGAUAAAGGGAAGUGGAAGGAAUUGAAGGUUGUAUUUAAGGACGGCAGGCAGGGAAGUAAAAUCUUAGUAACCACACGAAGCGAAAAGGUCGCCGCGAUAAUGAAAACAGUCGAACCACACCGUGUGAAAGGCUUAUCAGAUGAUGAUUGUUGGACAUUGUUCAAAAGGCUGGCAUUCGAUGAGGGGGAAGAGAACGACUAUCCGAGUUUGGUCGCAAUCGGAAAGCAGAUAGUAAAGAAGUGCGGCGGCGUGCCUUUAGCAGCGAAUGCUUUAGGAAGUAUGAUGUAUUCAAAGAACAGGACAGAGGAUGCAUGGUCCGCUACUAGGGAUAACGAAAUUUGGAGUCUGCAAGAAGAGAAAACUAUUUUACCAUCAUUAAAGUUGAGCUACAUUCAGAUGCCGUCGGCUUUGAAGCAGUGCUUUGCUUACUGCUCCAUAUUCCCAAAAGACUACGAGAUUGACAAGGAUGACUUGAUCCGGCAAUGGAUUGCUUUAGGCUUCAUUUCAUCGCAUGAAACAUGGACUUCGAUGGAAGAUAUUGGGAAUGAGUACUUUAACAAUCUAUUAUGGAUGUCUUUCCUUCAGGACAAAGAAUAUAGAAAGGUUACCACCUGCCGGAUGCAUGAUUUAGUGCACGACCUCGCACAAUCUGUAGCAAGAGAAGAAGUUGCUGUUAUAGUUGGAGAAGAGUCAACAAGGAUCCCGGAAAGUUGCCGCUAUGUCUUGAUAUACAGUCGUUUCACGCCACAGGUUUCAAUUACCAUAAUGCGGAGGUUGCGAGCUCUUCAAUUUAGGGAAUCUGGCUCACUUAUUAUGGCUUUUUAUAGCGAGGCAAAAUGCUUACGCCUGUUGGAUUUACAUGGUUCCGAAAUUUCUAUGCUGCCAAGCUCAAUCGGUAAGUUGAAGCUCUUAAGAUACCUCAACCUUUCGUCAACCAAUGUACAAGAACUGCCUGAAUCAAUUACCAGCCUCUGCAACUUGCAAUCCUUGAAUCUUUCAGGCUGCCGUNAUUUACAUGGUUCCGAAAUUUCUAUGCUGCCAAGCUCAAUCGGUAAGUUGAAGCUCUUAAGAUACCUCAACCUUUCGUCAACCAAUGUACAAGAACUGCCUGAAUCAAUUACCAGCCUCUGCAACUUGCAAUCCUUGAAUCUUUCAGGCUGCCGUGAGAUCCGUACAUUACCCAAAUUUCUAGGAAGGCUUACGAAUUUGCGGAUUUUAGAUUUAAGCGAGUGCAGUUCUCUGACAAUACUUGACUCCAUUAGCAACCUUCAGAAUUUGUACACACUAGAUUUGAGUUGGUGCCAAAAGGUGAUAUCACUUGAACCUAUAUGUCACCUCAAAAACCUGCAUUACCUAGACCUAUCAAAUCUAGAAUCUUUGGUGGCAUUACCUGAAUCCAUUGGGAGCCUUCAAAAUUUGCGUAGUCUCAACCUUUCUAGCUGCUCUUCUCUAGAAUGGUUACCCUCAUCGUCAAGUGAUCUUCAGCAUUUAGAGAAACUCGACAUUAGUGGUUGUGGAAAAUUAUGUGAGCUGCCUAAAAUGAUCCAAAAGCUGACCAAACUUAGAGUCUUGUUAAACAACAAUUGCUCGGAAUUGAAGGGCAUGCCCCGAGGGAUCGGCAAGUUAGUUAGCUUGCAGGAAUUGUCCGUUUUUGUCGUCGGCAAGCAAGACCGCGUCGAACAUUGUGCCAGUAUCUGUGAGCUCGAGCACCUUAAGCUUGUUGGCGAGCUGGAGAUCAAGGGUCUUGAAAAUGUGACGAGUCCGGUUGAUGCCAAGGCUGCAAAUUUGAUAGAGAAGAAGCUGCGGUCUUUGAAGUUGGAAUGGAACGUUUUAAGUGCGGAAGAAGGCAUUGAUAGUACUGUACUACCGGCGGAAGAGAUCGAAACCGUGCUAGAAAAUCUUCAACCACAUCAAAAGCUAGAGAAUUUGGAAAUAGGAGGCUAUGGAGGCGGGAAGUUUUCUAGCUGGAUGAUGAACAGGAUUGGCUCGUGCCUGCCAAAUCUCGUUGGAAUCGAACUAGCGGAUAUGCCCGGAUGCAGCUCACUCCCGCAGCUGGGGCAACUUCCUUUUCUUGAACAACUGACUAUACAAAACAUGCCCGCGGUAACAAAUUUCAGCGUACAUAAGUUCCCUGCGCUGAAGACACUUGAGUUGUCCUCCAUGCCGGUGCUGCGAGAAUGGGUGACUGUGUUGACGAUGGAUGAUGAAGAAGGCAGGCGAGAGCGAGUUCCCAUUUUUCCGUGUCUCACUUAUUUGGGUCUAUAUGAAUGUCCUCAGUUGAGGCCGGAGCCUUGCCUCCCGCCAUCGGUUGAGCAUAUGGGCAUCUACAGAACAAGCAAGGAGAAUCUAUCGUUGAUACUCGAACGCGCGAUGCCAUUUGGAGGUGGUGAUGCCGCCGUUUCACCCCAACCGCCACCAGAUAAGGGGCUGCCGGGUCUAGGAAUAGUAGGAUGUCGGCAGCUAACUUGUUUGCCCGAGAGCUUGCGAAGUCUCACGUCUCUCCAGUCGCUGGGAAUAUAUGAUUGUGAAGAUCUCGAGAGAAUUGAAGAUUGGCUCGGGGAGCUCACCGAGCUGCGGUCCUUGUACAUCGAUGGGUGCAGCAGUCUCCAUUACUUGCCUGCGCACAAGAUGACCGCACUUCAGGAGUUAUGUAUUGGGAUUUGCCCGCUGUUGUUCGAUGCGGACGGACGAUUUGUCGACACUAGUGUCGAUCACAUAAAAAAUGUCGAAGUUGAUGGGAGGUAAUUACUUUGGAACUCUAACUACUCUUUAAUUAAUGAGCUAGCACCUUAAUAUUCUAUUGUAGCUAGCAUAAACAUCUGUUUUUUUUUUUUUUNAGCAGUUGAGAUCUAUGGCAAUGGUGACAACAAUGAAAAACAAAUGAGCUGUUGUCUCUAAUAAUAUAAUGAGAAUGCCAAUUUAAUUUUAAUUUAAAAUUAUAUAUUUAAUUUUUAAAUUUUAACUUAUAUUUUAAUUAAAAAAAGUUGAAAAAAUAAAUUUAAUCCGAAUAAAUAUAAUUCCGUACGGAUUCAACUUUUAAUCCGGCCUACUAGGCCGGAUUGAAAAAAGAGGUGAUUGGAGGAUUCUCAUUCCACUCGGGAAUCGGAAUCGGAAUGGGACUCCCACGUACCAAACACUCACAAACGGAUUUACUUAUUCCGAUUCCGAUUUCAAGGUAAAAAAGAAGCAAACCAAACACGCCCAAUAUAUUUAUCUUAUAUCAGCACAAACUUUUUACAAAAAAAUUUCAUUUGGUCGCUAAAAUUUAUAAUAUUUUAAUUUUUACUGUGUCAUAGUUAGAAACUUUUGUGUAAUUUUCAAAAAGUUGAGAGGGUCCAUGACCAUUGUCGGCCUCUCAAUAGCUCUUCCCCUGUUCUGGAUUCAGCAAAGCAUCCUGAGAGGGGAUUGAUACGAGUUUGCUAGAUUGUUAAAUAUAAAUAUAUAAAAAUAUCAUUCUUUACGAGAUUAAUUACUUUUUGAAAAAAAAAAUGAUUAUUUCGUAUUAUUUAACAUCGUAUCAAAGUAGAAAAUUCUGAGUUCGAGUCACGUCAGACUUCUAGCCUAAUUGAUUUUUUCUCUCAGUUAAUUUAAGUCCACAUCGAGCUCAAACGUGAGAAAAAAUAUUAAAUAUAAAAAUAUUAUUAUCUAUCACUUUAAAUUUUUUGAGAAAACGAUUGUUUCGUAUUGUUUAACAUAGAUUGGAGCCAAAUAUAUAGCUAAACAAGUGGCGUGGGUCAAUCCAUAAAAAUCUCUAUAGAUGAUGCUGUAGGUAAGUUCUCUAAAACUUGCAAUUUAUCUGAAACAAAAAGAGAUGAUGUAUCACGUUCAGAAGUAUGUAACAGUGAGGAUUGCAGCAGGCUGUAGGCGAUUUGGUUAUGAGCAACUACAAUUAAACUAUGGCUGGCAUACAUUUAUUUAAUUACAUUUUACAUGUGCACUUAUAGAUAGCAUGCUGUUGUAACUUCCACAUAUUUAUCUUUUUCCUGGAGUGUAGAAUUAUGCUGAGACUUGUGAUCUUUGCACUAUUUUAUAAAGUGCAGGUUUACGUCUGUUUCCAUUUCAAAAAAAUUAUAUAUUUCUUUUUGGUUAAAUUACAUAAAGUGACCUGCACUAUACUGGCGUAUGAAAUUACCCCCCUCCACCCAUCCCUCUGUCAACUUUUAUUUUCUCAUUUAUAUUUAUUUGUCUUAUUUAGACGGUAGACCCCUGUAUAUGUUAAUAACAAGGUUAUUUUACUGAUCGUUUCUAACGCAAGUAGCAAAAAAUUUAGUGGUUGAUAAUCAAGAUUCUAAAUUUGAAUCCUAGUUGAUUCAUAUCUCUAGCUAAGUUUAUUUCUAAAUGAAAUAAACGAAACAGUAGAAUAGCAGUUGAGAUCUAUGGCAAUGGUGACAGCGACGAAAAACAAAUAAGCUCUUGUCUCUAAUAAUAUAAUGAGAAUGUCAACAGAUACAAAAGAAAUCUAAGUUUUUUUAUUCUAGUUUAUGACCGAUUUUGAAAAAAGAUUCCAAUGGCAUCUCUAGUUUAUAAUUUUAUAUACAUUUGAGGUAAUUAGGUGUACUAAAAAUUUCUAUAUUUUUGGCUGACGGGAUCUAAUUUUUUUUAAAAAAUGAUAGUAUAAAGAGGUGUAAAUUAACUAAGAAAAUAAUUUUUUAUGGCAAUUAAGAAAAUCAAUGCUAAUUAGAAAAAGGCGGUUUUGAACUGUGGUGCAGUGCUGCAUAGAGAUGUCAACGGGUCGGAUUCGAGGCGGAUUUUUAAAAACCCGAACCUGAACCCGACUCCAAAUCCGAGACCCGAAUCCGAACCCGAAUCCAACGGAUUUUAAAAAUUCAUAUCCAAACCUGAACCCGACCAAAAAUCCGAAACCCGAACCCGAAUCCGAACCCGAACCCGAAAAUUUGAACCCAAAAUAAUAAAUUUUUUUUUCAAUAUUUCAAAAUAUAUUAUAUUAAAUCUAAAUUUUUAAAAUACAAAUUCAAAUAUAACAUCAAAUUUAUAUAUAUAUAUUAUAUAUAAUACAAAAUAAAUUCGGGUUCGGGUCGGAUUUGGGUUCGGAUUCGGGUUAGGUACAAUCAAAAUCCAUAUCCGAAUCCAUAUCCGUCGGAUUUCUAUUUUUUAUAUCCAUAUCCAUCGGAUAUAUCCGUUUCAUUCGGAUUCGGAUUCGGAUAAAAUUUCGGAUAUUCAUACCCAUUGACAUCCCUAGUGCUGCAGUGGUCCAACUCUCCAUACUUUUUUUUUUCUCUUUUUUGGGCAAUCAAAAUUUAUACAUAUCAAUUCUUCACAUAUAAUAGUAUCUUAGAAUAUUAUCGUGGGGUGAAAAUCAUUUUACUCAAUCUGAUCCCACUCUGAAGCCGAAGAUUGUCGGAUUUGGAGUGAAAUUUUACUAUCCAUUACGGAUUCAGAUUCAAAUCUGAAAUUUGAAUUUUUUUUUUGAGUUCAAAUUAAAGAUUCACUAUUUCUUUUUAAAUUCGAAUUCUAAAUUAUUGGAAACCAAAACUGAUUUUGACCGCUUUUUUAAUUUCUGAAGUAAUACCAUUUAAGCAUCUUUCAGAAAUCUCAAGCAUUCAUUGCGUUUUCUUCAGUUGGAUGAGAAAAUAAUAAUAAUAAUAAUAAUAAUAAUAAUAAGGGCGGCUCUCCUUUUCUGCCGCUUCAUUUUUUAAAAAUGGACACAGAAACGACAAGAUCCAAAGAGCAAAUUUGAAACUGAUAAUAUUUUUUAUAUUCUGCACAAUAGGAUAAGGACGAUUGAGGGACUAGCAUAUGCAAAAGAUCAAAGAUUCCCGGCGUAAUUAUCGAAGCAACAGCACAAUAAUUAAUUGGAGCGAUCACCUACUACCACUGCAGAGCAUCCCCCCUUAUUCUCUGCCUCCCUGCAGUAGGACGGUUGUAUUGAGAAGAAGCACAUAGCUGCUGUCGUAGGUAGCAGCACGCGCGAUGGCGGAGGGGAUUGCAUUCGAUCUGGUCAAAGGAGUGCUCGGCAAACUGGGCUCAACUCUCUGGGACGAAAUCGGACUGCUGCGGAGCUUCAAGAACGACGCGGACGAUCUCAGAAGCAACUUCUCGGCGAUCCAGGCGGUGCUUCUCGACGCCGAGGAGCGGAGCAGCGCUGGGAAGGAGAGCCACGCUCUGCGCGACUGGCUGCGCAAACUGAAGGACGCCGCCUACGACGCCGACGACCUGCUGGACGAGAUCCGGACGCAAGCGGCCCUCCGGCAACAGCAGUAUCCCGAGGUGCUGAAUCAACACCAGCCAGCUGGAAAGGUACGUGAAUUUCUGUCCCGGGCUAAUCCGAUGCAUCUGAAGUUUAAGCGCAAGAUGGCACACAGGAUGAAAGAGCUCAGAGAAAAGAUCGGUAAGAUCGCGAAACAGAGGCAUGAUUUUGGUCUUGCCGAAGCUGGCCCUCUUCGACAGGCUGAAUUCAAGCGCCCUGAGACAUUCUCGAUCGUCGACGAAAAGACAAUAGUCGGGAGAGAUGAUGAUAAAGAGAAAAUUGUGAAGCUUCUCCUUGAGACCAGCAGCGAUCACGACGUGUCGAUCAUUCCGAUCGUGGGAUUGGGGGGUUUGGGGAAGACGACACUCGCUCAGCUGGCCUUCAACGACGGGCAGGUUACAGGCCAGCAGCGCUUCGAUUUACGGGCGUGGGUCUGCGUGUCUACCGAUUUCGACAUGAAGAUGAUUGCAAAGCCGGUGAUAUCUGCAGCUGGAGAGAAUUGUGCUCUUGAUAACUCGGAUGCCGUCGCCAGUUGCCUUGUCAGUAUCUUCAGCCAGAAGAGAUUUUUGCUGGUGCUGGAUGAUGUAUGGAAUGAAGAUCAGGAAAGGUGGGAGAAAUUGAAGGUUUUAUUUAAGGACGGUAAGCAAGGAAGUAAAAUCUUAGUGACCACACGGAGCGAAAAGGUUGCCGAGAUAAUGAAAACAGUCGAGCCGCACCGUGUGAAAGGCUUAUCAGAUGAUGAUUGUUGGACAUUGUUCAAAAGGCGGGCAUUCAAGGAAGGGGAAGAGAAUGACUAUCCGAGCUUGGUCGAAAUCGGAAAGCAGAUAGUAAAGAAGUGUGGUGGCUUGCCUUUAGCAGCAAAUGCUUUAGGAAGUAUGAUGCGCUUUAAGAGCAGAACGGAGGAUGCAUGGUCCGCUAUUAGAGAUAGCGAAAUAUGGAGAUUGGAAAAAGAGGAAACUAUUUUACCAUCAUUGAAAUUGAGCUACAUUCAGAUGCCGUCGGCUUUGAAGCAGUGCUUCGCUUACUGCUCCAUAUUCCCCAAAGACUAUGAGAUUGACAAGGAUGACUUGAUCCGGCAAUGGAUUGCUUUAGGCUUCAUUUCAUCGCAUGAAACAUGGACUUCGAUGGAAGAUAUUGGGAAUGAGUACCUUAACGAUCUAUUAUGGAUGUCUUUUCUUCAAGAUGUGUGGGAAUAUUAUAGAAAGGGUACCACCUGCCGUAUGCAUGAUUUAGUGCACGACCUCGCACAAUCUGUAGCAAGAGAAGAAGUUGCUGUUAUAGGUGCAGAAGAGUCAACGAGGAUCCCGGAAAGUUGCCGCUAUGUCUCGAUAUACAGUCGUUUCACGCCACAGCUGGUUUCAAGUACCGUAAUGCAGAGGUUGCGAGCUCUUCAAUUUAGGGAAUCUGGUUCACCUACUAUGAAUUUUUAUAGCGAGGCAAAAUGGUUACGCCUGUUGGAUUUACAUGAUUCCAAAAUUUCUAUGUUGCCAAGCUCAAUCAGUAAGUUGAAGCUCCUAAGAUACCUCAACCUUUCGGAGAACAGUAUACAAGAAUUGCCUGAAUCAAUUACCAGCCUCUGCAACUUGCAAACCUUGAAUCUUUCAGGCUGCCAAAAGAUCCGUACAUUACCCAAAUUUCUAGGAAGGCUUACGAAUUUGCGGAAUUUAGAUUUAAGCGACUGCAGUUCUCUGACAAUACCUGACUCCAUUAGCAACCUUCAGAAUUUGUACGCACUAAAUUUGAGUUCGUGCGAAAAUGUGAUAUCACUUGAACCUAUAUGUCACCUCAAAAACCUUCAUUACCUAAACCUAUCAGAUCUAAUGUUUAUGGAGACUUUACCAAAAUCCAUUGAGAGCCUUCAAAACUUGCGUACUCUGAAUCUUUCUAACUGCAUUUCUCUGCUAUCAUUACCCUCAUCAUUAUGUGAUCUCAAAAACCUGCAUGACUUAAACCUAUCACGUCUAAAAUCUUUGGUGACAUUACCUGAAUCCAUUGGAAGCCUUCAAAACUUGCGUAUUCUGAACGUUUCUGAAUGCUCUUCUCUAGAAUCAUUACCCUUAUCGUCAAGUGAUCUUCAGCAUUUAGAGAAACUCGACAUCAGGGGUUGUAAAAAAUUAUGUGAGCUGCCCAAAAUGAUCCAAAAGCUGACCAAACUUAGGGUCUUGUUAAACAACGAGUGCUCAGAAUUGAAGGGCAUGCCCCGAGGGAUCAGCAAGUUAGUUAGCUUGCAGGAAUUGUCUGUUUUUGUGGUCGGCAAGCAAGACCGCGUCGAACAUUGUGCCAGCAUCUCUGAGCUCGAGCACCUUAAGCUUGUCGGCGAGCUGGAGAUCAAGGGUCUUGAAAAUGUGACGAGUCCGGUUGACGCCAAGGCUGCAAAUUUGAUAGAGAAGAACCUGCGGUCUUUGAAGUUGAAAUGGAACGUUUUAAGUGCGGAAGAAGGCAUGGACAGUACUGUACUACCGGCGGAAGAGAUCGAAACCGUGCUAGAAAAUCUUCAACCACAUCAGAAGCUAGAGGAAUUGGAAAUAGAAGGCUACGGAGGCGGGAAGUUUCCUAGCUGGAUGAUGAAUAGGAUUGGCUCGUGCCUCCCAAAUCUCGUUAAAAUCAAACUUGAGAAUAUGCCCGGGUGCAGCUCACUCCCGCCGCUGGGGCAACUCCCUUUUCUUAAAGCACUAACUAUACGAAAUAUGCCCGCGGUAACAAAUUUGGGCGUAGAUAAGUUCCCUGCGCUGAUGAGACUUAACUUGUCCUCCAUGCCGGUGCUGCGAGAAUGGGUGACUGUGUUGACGGUGGAUGACGAAGAAGGCAGGCGAGAGCGAGUUCCCAUUUUUCCGUGUCUCACUCAAUUGUACCUUAAAGAAUGCCCUAAAUUGAGGCCGGAGCCUUGCCUCCCGCCAUCGGUUUUGCAUAUGGGCAUCUCUAGAACAAGCAGCGAGAACCUAUCGUUGAUUUUCGAACGCGCGAUGCCACUUGGUGAUGGUGAUGGUGAUGGUGAUGGUGAUGGUGAUGCCGCCGUUUCACCCCAACCGCCACCGAAUAAGGGGCUGCGGAGUCUACAAAUAGGAGGAUGUCAGCAGCUAACUUGUUUGCCCGAGAGCUUGCGGAGUCUCACGUCUCUCCAGCGGCUGAUAAUAUCUGAUUGUGAAGAUCUUGAGAGAAUUGAAGAUUGGUUUGGGGAGCUCUCCGACCUGCGGUCCUUGAUCAUCCAGGGGUGCAGCAGUCUCCGUUACUUGCCUGCCCACAAGAUGACCGCACUUAAGAGGUUACAUAUUGAUGGUUACCCGCUGUUGUUCGAUGCAGAUGGAAGGUAAUUAAUUUGCAACUCUGGCUACUCUUUAUUUAGCUGGCUAGCACCUUAAUAUUCUAUCGUCGCUAGCAUAUAAACCUCUCUUCUUCUUCUUCCUUUUUUUUUUUUCUAAAUAUUCGGAUGGAAAACUUUCAAUUAGCCCCACCGCACGUGAUUCGGAGCAUUUUCAUUUGCUAUGAAAUAUUUCAUUUUGCUAUUUUAAUUUAUAGUUGUGUUUUUAUUUUCUUGCAAAAAUCUUCUACAAAAAAGAAAAAAAAAAAUUAAAGUGCUAAAAUAUAUGAAUUAUAAGACAGUCAAGUAAUUUAUUUUACAAACCACAUAGGGACUAUGUGAAAUAAAUAAAUAAAUAAAUAAAUAAAUAAAUAAAUAUAUAUAUAUUAUAGUAUUUUAUGAUUUAUAAAUUUUAGCACUUUAAAUAGUUUUACUUUAAAAUCUUGUGGUUAUUCCUUUUCUUUGUAUCAUCGUAAGAAUUUGCCGUCAAGUAAAUGUAUUAAAGUGCUAAAAUUUAUAAAUCAUGGGAUAGUAAAGUGAUACAUUUUAUGAAACAAAAGGUAGCCGCCUGUAUCUAUAUAUAUUUUUUCACAUAGCACUCUAUGGUUUAUAAACUAUAUUCCUUUACUACUCUAUAAUUCAAAAUUUCUAGCACUUCAAUAUUCUUUGGUAGUAGGUCCUUACGGUAAAAUAAAGACGCAAUAAUAAAGUAGCAANGGUUUUCUGGAAAAAAUUUCAAGUGGUCUCUUGCAUGUACAUAGACUAAUUAAUGAAAUUUUAACCUUUUCUUAAUUUGUAGCGAUUUGAGAUGCUAAAAAAUUUCUACUUGAACGAUAUAUAGUAUUUACAAAGUAACUAUUUUCGGUCAUAUUGUUGAUAUACUAUUCGAGUCCUAGGAUAUUUUUUUUUACAAAUUGAAAUCAGGUAUGUUAUAUAUCAUACGUUAUUAGAAAGUCUAAGCAAAAUAUACAACACAUAUAUACUGCACGAGUGUCGAAUAAAAAAGUAACCUUUUUGUGUUGUUGUGGUGUAGAAAAUACCCGUACAAGGAACAAGCGAGCAGCUCGUCACAUGUGGAAGAGAGCUCACCGAAGGAGGAGGAGGAGAAGAAGAUUGGUUAGCGAGGAGAGCAUAAGUAUAUGUAUCUCUUAUUUGGAGUUAAAAGAUAUUAGAUAUUAGAUAAAUUAUACUGCACUUUGAAAGCGGCCAAUUGGGCUUUACGAAUUUCGAUUUUAAUUUGAUUUUGAUAUAAGAAAUUUUCUUUGAAAGAUUUGUUAGAUCCUUUUAGAAUUUAGUCUCUUCCGUUAAACAAAGUACAGAAUGUUUCAUAAAAUAAAAAAAAAUUUUAUCAAAUUUUAAAAUAUUUUAUCAAAAAACAUUAAGUAUCCUUUCGAAUUCUCUAAGGAACAUAAUAAACACUGCGGAAAGUUAGAGAGUAGAAUUAAAUUUUUAAAGUUCAGUUAUUUAUCUCAAAGCGUAGUGUAGCUCACGUAAGAAUCAUUAUCUUUUAGCUUAUUUGGUGAUCAGUAUUCCCCUUUGAGAAGAGUUUUUUUUUCCCCUUUGUUUUGCCAAAAAUAAACAAAUUUUAUAUAUCUACAUGCAAUGGUGAGAGUUUUUAUUCAUGGACUUGGGGCCUUCUCUUUCAGGUUUGUGCUAUUUAGCUUUCCGGACAAGAAUUGUAGUGUGCUGUUGUCGGAUUAAUAUAUAUUUGUCUUUUCGUGAUAUAAAUUGAGUUUCUGAAUGUACUAUUUUAUAAUUUGGUUUGAUUGUUGGUAAUUUUAUGGUGUUCUAUGUAUAUGUUAUGGGCUUGAAAAAGGUUGUUUGGUUUGAAUAAACAAAAUGUUGCUACUUUUUUUAAUACGGAUAUUAGAGGGUACAUUAAUUUUUAAGUAAAUCUGACGUAGAGUUUAUUACUAGCUAGUAUAUAUGCAUUGUGUUACGGAAUUGUUUAAAAUCAUCAGAUGCUGUUUUUGGCAUGCAAGUUGGACCUACUAUAUAUGUAUGUACCGCAGUUGAGAGGGUUAAUUUCCAUAUAUGUUUACUUUAAUUUAUCUUUUCUUUUAUUUGAUUAGAUCCGAAUUAAGCCAAUAAAUUUUAAAGUAUUAAAAGUUUUAUUAUUUUGCUUUCUGCAAGAUUUUUAGUUUUUAAAUUCCACAAAUCUGAAUCGAUUUAUUAAUAAAAUCAAACUGAAUCAAUAGAAGUGAGUUGCUUUUUCAGUUUGGUUUUUACCAAACAUGUGGUUUAAAUGAAAAUACAGAUAUGUAUUGCUGCAUUAUUUAAUUUGUUUGAGUUAAGUGAUCUCACUGCUCGUGCAAUAUCAAAUUUAGAUUAAUUAUUUAUUUUAAUAAAUUUAUAGCUUCAUAAAUUUAUAAAAUAUAGUAAUUAAUUAAACAUGUAAAGAUAAACAAUACAUUUAAAUUUUAAAGCUAAAGAGAUAUUUGACUCAAAUCAAAUAAAUUAUAAAUUAUAUAGCAACAUUAAAACUCUUUUAAAGAUUAGAUAGUAAAAUUAAAAUAAGUGAUAGUUGUGGUAAGUUAUAUAAAGUUCUUAUUUUUUUAUUCAAGUAAUCCAGAAAAUUAAAAGAGGUAUUUACUUCGAAAUAAGUUAAAUUAUUUUUUAUGGACAAGUAUUUUUCGAGACCUUAACAUCUGGGACCAACCGUAAAAAUAAGGAAAAUUGCAUGAAAUUAAUUAACCAAAAUUUUAUUUUAUAGGAAAAAAAGGAUAAAAUUUUUAAAAUAUUUUGAUGUUAUUGUUUAUUCUUUCUGAUUUGAGUUUCAUGAAAUUAAAAUUAUUGCCAAUACCUAGUGCAUGGGCACUAUGCCCUUUUUUCUUUUUUUCUUUUUUUUUAUGAAAAUGUAGUAUGCAUAAUUGAUCCUUGAUGUAUACUAUAUUUUUAAUUUAACAACGGAAAAAAUAUGCUGUGAAAAUUAAACUAGUGGACGAGAUAGAGUAAGGAUAUAUGAAUGCAUCAGGUGCAUCCAAUCGUUUUAUAAGGCUAUUAAAUUAUUUAAAUUAAAUAAAAAUUUUAAAUAUAAUAAAUAUAAAUUUUUUUGAAAAAAAUAAAUAGCUAGGUUACAAAUUAUCCAAAAUUUAAUUAUCUUUGUAUAUUCAAAAUUCAAAAUCAUCAUAAGAAACUGCAUCUAACUUGCGAUGGCCAGUUCCUUAAAAUUAAAAUCCAAAACAAAAGGUACGAUCUACAGUAUCUAAAUGGAUUAUGUAUAAAAACACAAGGUUAAAAAAAAAAAAAAAAAAAAAAAAAAAAAANAAAAUUGAAUGAAAUUAAUUAACCAAAAUUUUAUUUUAUUGGAAAAAUAACCAUAAAAUUUUUAAAAUUUUCUGAUUUUAUUGUUUAUUCUUUCUGAUUUGAGUUUCAUGAAAUUAUUGCCCAUACCCAGUGCAUGGGCACUAUGCCCCUUUUUUUUCUUUUUUUCUUUUUUUUUUUUGAGGAAAUGUAGUAUGCAUAAUUGAUCCUUGAUGUAUACUAUAUUUUUAAUUUAACAACGGAAAAAAUAUAUGUGAAAAUUAAACUAGUGGACGAGAUAGAGUAAGGAUAUAUGAAUGCAUCAGGUGCAUCCAAUGUUUUAUAAAGCUAUUAAAUUAUUUAAUUUAAAUAAAAUUUUUAAAUAUAAUAAAUUUAUUUUUUUUUGAAAAAAAUAAAUAGCUAGGUUUCAAAUUAUCUAAAAUUUAAUUAUCUUUGUAUAUUCAAAAUUCAAAAUCAUCAUAAGAAAUUGCAUCUGAUUUGUGAUGGCCAGUUCCUUAAAAUUAAAAUCCAAAACAAAAAGUACGAUCUACAAUAUCUAAAUGGAUUAUGAUGAUUUUGAAUUUUGAAUAUACAAAAAAAAAAAAAAACUGUUACUAAGUCAUCUGAAGUCUAUUCGUCUGUCGUAGAGAAAGAGUAAUUAUUUGAUUUAUGAAGAAAUAUGUCUUCAAAAUAAGAAAUACUACUGAUGCAUUCAAAAGUGUGGUGUAAAUCUAAGAUUUAUUCUCAAUAUGAAUUUUGUUUUAAAUCUCAUCUUAGCAUCCGUUCAUUGUAUGGACUAGUUUACUGGAAUAAACUCUGGCAUCCUACCUAGUUCCAUAUAACGUUUUGGUUCCGGUGGUCGUAGCAGGGUAAAUUUGUAUUUAUCAGAUCAACUUAUCAUGACACAUAACUUCUCUUUGCUUUUUCUUUUCUUUUUUUUUUUUUUGGAUAAAAGCCUUCCCAUGCUGGUAUGCAAGAGAUUAUAACUGGAUUGCUUAUGAAUAUGAGAGAAGACUAGUGCUUAUUGUUUUGGAAUUUGUUGCUUGUCUGAUGAUCCUGUCUGUUUCUUACAUUUAUUUGAUUUUUUAUAUAACAGGAACGACGAAUGAGAGGUCAAGCAUUUGUGACUUUUCCAACUGUCGAUCUUGCUCAGCAUGCAUUGGUUUGUCUAUCUUUUGAGGCUAAAAACUAUUUUUUUAAAAAAAAUUUUAAGGGCCGCUGAAAAUUUAGUUAAAAACUAAAAUUAAGUUCAUGUAUGAUGUUGCUUGUUUUUUAAUACCUGGGCGAAUUUUGAGAAUAUGUAGCCCAAAGAAAGCACCUGCUUUGAUGCUUUGGAGGGCCCACAAAUUUCAAAAGCUGCCCAAAAAAGACAUCUUUUAUGCUUUGGAGUGCUCCCUUCAAAUGUUUUUAAAUGAUGAUAGGAACUGUCACUGGAGAAGCAUCAUGCCGCAGAGGCAUUCUUCUCGAUCUGUUAUAGUGCUUGAGAGCUUUGAUAGGAGCUCUCAAGCACUUUCGGAAAUUCUUUUGGGGCCAUCGAACGCAUAAAAGCUGGUGUGUUCGAAAAUAGGCCUCAGUCUGCGAAGCAGCUCUAUUUCUAUCAUGAACUGUUUCACCUGAAGUUAUUUUCGGAAAAAAGAAAAAAAAAAAAGUGAAAAAGAUAGGCUCGAAAGUGGGGAGCAGAGAAUCUGCAAUUUUUACUCUGCAAUACUUUAGUUAUGAUAAUUAUGUUCUUCAAUUUUAAUCUUCUAUUCUAGAGUAACGAGCAUUGUUCAUAAUAAUACAUAUCCAUUGUUCAUAAUAAUGGAUAUGUAUUCAAAGGCAAGGCGAUGAUCAUCCAGUUUGGUUGCAAUCCUGUUGCUGGCAAAGCUACCUAAUUAAAUGGGGAUUUUGAUGUAGACCAUGGGUGCAUGCCUUGGGAUGGAAAUUUUGAUCAAUCCAAAAAUUGUCACAGCUCUUCAACGUCCAAUAAAAGAUGGGUAUGGUUUUUUCAUUUUUAAAAAAAUAAUGAUGUGUAUCGUGUGCGUUCAUGAGGUUUCAUUUAUUUUAUCAGAAAUGAUUCAGUACUUUAUUAUUAAAAAAAUAAAAUAGAUCCUAACCGUUGAUUAAUAGAGGGUAAAGAUGUAAUUUAAUAUUUAGCAGGUAAAUGGGUUGCAUCAUUCGAAGUUAUUUCGAUAAUUAAACUAUACAGCAUUUAAAAAAACUUUUAAUUGAUAUUCUAAAUUUAUGCAUUAAUUUGCACUAAUUUAGGAAAUUGAUUGAUUACCCUAAUUUAGGCAUUAAUUAGGCAUUAAUUUACGCAUUUAGUUUAGAAAUUUUAGUGUUUCUAAAAUUUAGGCAUUAAUUUAAAUUAUAGGAAUUUUAGAAAUAGUUCUAUUUCUAAAUACAUUGAAUUUAAAUAUUAAAUAUUAAAUAUUUAAAAUUAAAAAAUUAAAAUUUAAAUUAGAGGAAUUUUGUAUUACUAUUUAAAAAAUUUGUAAUGUUGAUAAAUAUUUUAAUUCAACAUACUUAAUAUGUUUAAGAAAAUUUUUAAAUUCCUAAAGUUUAGACAACAAUUUUGUAUCACUUAUUUUAAAAAAAAUUAAAUGUUGGUAAAAAAAUUAUAAAUUAAAUGUAUUUAAUAUGUUAAAAAAAUUAGAAUUGUUCUACUUUAGACGUUAAUUAUUUAUCAUUAUUCAAAAAAAUUUGUAAUGUUGGUAAAUAUUUAAAUUUAACAUAUUUUAUAUGCUUAACAAACUUAUGAAUUCAUCUUAGACAUUAAUUUUGUAUUACUAACUUUAAAAAUUGAGUGUGGACAACAUAUUUAAAUUCAACAUAUUUAAUAUGUUUAAAAAUAUUUAAGAAUUUUUCUAAUUUAGAUAUUAAUUCUUUAUCACUAUUUAAAAAUUUUAAUGUGAAUAAUUGAUUAGAAAUAUAGGGUAUAAUUCAAAUUUAUUCUUAGAAUAGAAUUGUAUGGACAAAAUUAAUUCAAAUUUUAAUAGAAAAAAUUUAUCUUUUAAAAUAAUAAGAUAAUGUAUUGUAAUUUAAAAUAUAAUUUUUUUAUAUGAAAUGCCAAAUAUGAGAGGAAAAAAGAUAGAGAGAGAAAAAAAAUAAAGAGAGAAUAAAAAUUUUGAUAAUAUAAUAGAGAUAAAAUGACUAAAUUGCUCAUGUAUUAAAAGAUAAAAAUAUUUUUUUUUGAGGUAUCUGAUGAUCGGUACCUCUCCUAAAGUGACUUGCUAUUAUAGGUCACAAUUUUAAAAAAAUUAAAUCUGGACCGUUGAAUGGGAGUGAAUGAACGGUAAGAAAAAAAAAAAAAAGUAUAGAAGCAUUACUCUUAUUUUAUGGCCACUUCUGAUGAAACACCUAUAUAAUAGGGCUACACAUGUCGACCUCAUGCAAUAAUGCAUGCGUAGUGGCCACAAGGUGCUUCAUCUAGGUUCCUAUGAGCAGCGCUAGAACUUUAGUAACCAGAUUUUUGCAUCAAAUUAGUUCAUUAAAGUUUGAACUGAGUAGUUAAGCCAGCAAUUGCCCUUCUUCAGGAUUUUGUAUCCUCCGAAUGGAAUAUGCAUGAACUAUUGUUGCUGCUUUUCUGAGGAAGGUUUUAACCAUCUAUUAAAAGCUCAUUUCGAAGUGCAAAUUAUCAUUAGUUACUUUCUAAUAUUGCUGAAUUGAUCAGUCAGUUUUGUUCAAUUUGGCCUUUGGUUUUUGUGGUGAUUUUUGACAUAUUUUUCUGCUUUUGUGUUGAUAAGCUACGAGGACUGGUUCGCCAUAUUUUAAAGUUCAGCAACUACAAUCCAUGCCGUGGAGCUCUACUGCCGCAAUGAGAUGGUUACUUGUGUGCGCCUCCUAGUUUUGUUUUAUCCAGGAACAUGACAAACUCAGUUGGAAUUGAGAUGGUGAUGAAAGGUAACACACACUUUGUAGAUUGUAAAAUUCUCUCCAUGGUGAACUACCCCACCAGUCUAUCAACUCUUAACCAAGUUCCAUUUUGAUCCUCGAGCUUUUAGGGAUUGUUUGCGACUUUGAACUCUUAAAUGUUUCGCACAUCUAAUUCUAUUAGAUGGCAAAUUAUUGGUUACACCCAAUAUAUGUGUACAUGUUUGUAUACUUAUCUAUUGAUUGUUGCUUGUGAAUUUACAAUCGUUUUUUUUUAUUUAAAAAUUAGAGUAUUGAAUUGAAAGUAUGUGAUGGAAAAAAGGGCUAAUGAACUUAUGUGCGCAAACAUACUCGUACCGUUACUUCCAAAGUGUAAUAGAGCACGUGAACAAUGGGAAAGCGAAUAUAGUAGCACUUAAGCACCUAGUACAAUUUAUGAGCUGUACCCCUACAUAAUUAUAGUAGUGGUGGGUCCAUGCUUUGAUUAUUGGGCAUCUGAUCUAAUAGUGACUUUUAAAGACUCGGUACAUAAGAGAUGCUUAGGAAACAUUGUGGAUCACAUGAAAGGUAUAACCCUGUAAAGUUAUUUGUGAGCUGGUAAAUUUAUUUAAUGCUCUUGAUGCACUGAUGUGAUAUGUAAAAUUAUCAAAAUCUCUUGUAUUGGAAUUGCCACCAUAAGGAAAAUAUAUAAAACAAUAAUUUUGAAAAAUUUGUAGCAGUACUUGUGCAAGUGGGGAGGUAAUAAUUUUUUUCUUCCCUUAAGUGGGUUGAUAUAGGAGAAAUUAUCGAAUUAUCUGAUUGAUCAAGUUCAAUGUGUACCCAUUUUUUUUAAACUUGAUCUCAUAUAUUAGGAUUUUGAAUUUAAAUUUUUAUUUUAAAAUAUAAAAGUUUGGUAGGGUGGGUGCACCGAUGAUGUGGCGCAUGAGGUGCAAGCGAUAUUUCCCACGACAAAAGAAUUAAAGUAAAAGCAAAAUAAGAACAAAGCUAAAAGCACUUGCCCGCUUUAUUCCUGUCCUCACGCAGUGGAGGAAAAAAGAAAUUUGUUAAUCUAUAUGUAUGUUUUAAGUCUCACAUUUCAAGAUAAUUUGGUAAACUUGGUAAAUUUUUUUUCCUUCAAUUAUUAAUAAGUCCAAAGUUUUUCUUAGAUCUAUCUAUUAACUAAAAAAAAAUCAAAAGUUAAGUGCAAACUAUUUUCAUGAAUAAGGGAAAUUAAGAAGAAAAUGAUAAAAAAAAACAGCUAAACAUUUUAAUGAACAAGAAAGAGAGAGUAAAGAAUAACAAAGCUGAUUGUUUUCAUGAACAAGGGAAAGAAGAAAAGAACAAAACAAAGCAGGGAAAAGAAGAAAAUAAUAAACAUAAACUAAGCACGCGGCGUGCAUAUAUGCUAAUUAAUAUUCAGUAUACUCUUCUUUGUUGUAGGAGUUUUUUUUUUUUUUUUUGAGAAAAAAAUAGCGAGUUAUUUGUUUCAUUUAUUAGGUAAAAUAAACUAGACAUAUAUAAUAGAAACAGCCGAGGCUUCUGAGAAAAAAAUUAAAAAAGCAAACCAAAAGGAAAUUUGAACUCUGGUAGUGUGGUGUAGUGUUGCAGUGGUCUCCAUACUUUGUUUCCUUUUUUUCUCUUUUUUUUGGGCAAUCAAAAUUUAUUCAUAUCAAUUCUUCAAGUAUAAUAGCAUCUUAGAAAAAUACCUUGGGGUGAUAGCCGUUAUGAAAUUAUUCAAUCUGAUCGGACUCUGAAGCAAAAAAUUGUCAAAUUUGGAUUGAAAUUUUACAUUGAAAUUUUACUGUCCAUUACGGAUUCAGAUUCAGAUCUGAAAUUUGAAAUUUUUUUGAGUUCAAAUUAAGAUUUACUAUUCCUUUUUAAAUUCGAAUUCAAAUUAUUGAAAACCAAAACUGAUUUUUGACUGCUUUUUUAAUUUCUCAAGUAAUGCCAUUUGAAAAUGGACACGGAAACAACAAGACCCAAAGAGCAAAUUCGAAUCUGAUAAUAUUUUUUAUAAUCUGUACAACAGGAUAAAGACGAUUGAGGGACCAGCGUGCAAAUCGUCAAAGAUUCCCAGCGUAAUUAUCGGAGCGGCAGCACAAGAAUUGGAGCAGUCACCUACACCUACUGCCAACUUUUCCUCAAUUUCCAAGCACGAGAGAGAGAGAGAAAAAAAAAAAAAAAAAACAACAACUGGAGCAUGCUUUUCUGCCUCUUCAUCUGAAAAUGGACACGACAAUACGAAGAUUCAAAUAUUUUUAUAAUUUGUACAAUUGGAUAAAGAUUGAUCAUUGAUCAUGGGGUGUAUUUCACUAGUUGGAUUUUUUUUUUUUUUUUUGAGAGAGAAAAAUAGUAUAGUACCAGUUUCGUAUAUUUCAUUCAAAAAUAAACUUAGCUAGAACUAUAAAUUAAUUAAAAUUCAAAUUUAAUUCUCGAAUAUCAAUCACCAAACUUUUUUUGCCACUUGCGCUAGAAACCGUCGGUGCGGGAUGCAUCUUCUAUGCCCAAUGAAAUGAAUGUAUAAGUAAGAGUUUUCGAAAAAAAAGAAAAAAACGAAAAAAAAAAAAAGCAUUGGCGCGUGCGUUCUCUCGAAGCUCCUCCGGCGGCCCCACCAUAGUUAUAUGAGACGCAGCACAAUAAAUGGAGCAACCAUCUUCCAGCGGUGGAGAGCAUCCCCUUAAUUAUCCUCUGCUUCUCUGUAGUAGGAUGUUCGUAUUGAGAAGAAUUAGGCAGCAGCACGCGCGAUGGCGGAGGGGAUCGCAUUCGGUUUGGUGAAGGGAGUGCUCGGCAAUCUGGGCUCCGCUCUCUGGAACGAAAUCGGGCUGCUGCGGAGCUUCAAGAACGAAAUUGUGCUUAAUUAUUAUUAUUAUUAUUAUUUAUUACUAUAUAUAUAAAAGUAGAACCCUUAAUGAACCCUAUGUGAGAAGCUGACACGUAGCUUUCUAUAUACUUGUCACGUGUCAAACUCAAGUAUGGAUAUUUGGUUACGAAUUAUUUAAAAUUAUUGGUUUAAUUAAUUAUUUAAAAUUAUUGGUUGCGAAAUACGCAAUAAUCUGUUGCGAAUUAUUUUUUCGCGAUGGAAAUAAUCUGUUACAAAUUCAAAUUUCGUAUUAGCAGAUAAUUAAGAAAAAAAAUUCAAAACUCACGUUUUUAUAAAAAAAUAAUAUCUUUUAUUAUAUUAUUAAAAAUCACAUAUAAUGAAUAAAAUUUUAUUUCAAAGUCACCUAUAAUUAUGUUGAGAUAUUUGAAAAAUCUAUGGAUAUUAUGUUACGAAAGAAUUGGCGGUGCGGAUAUUACGCGUGAGAAGAAAAAUAUUUAUCUUUAUUUGGAAAUAAAUUAUUACUUAGUUAAUUAUUUAAAAUGAUUGGUUGAAAUUUCUGGACAUAAAAAUAUUAGUAAAAAAGUAUAGGCAUUUUUGGAAAGAGGAAAAAAUUUAAAACUCACCUCACUCCUGUAAUUUUCUUCGCUCUUAAAUAUUGAUGCUUUAAAAUAGAACAUGCUAUUUCCCUACUGUCACUUCUGUAAUUUUCAUUUCGUAAUUUUUUUCCUUUAUGUCACUCAUGUAACUUUUCAUCUUCAUGCAAUAAAAUUUUUUUUUCUUUAUUUUUUAUUGAAAACCAACAUCUAUAUAUUUUUGAAUCUUAAAAGCGACAGUAGGAACAUAAUAUAUGUGUGCUUACUCUAAUUUGUGUCAAAUAUGAAAGUUUAGUUGAUCUCAUUAUAUGCUUAAAUAUUAAUGUCAUUUGUAAUUUUUCAUAUCAAUUUUAGUUAUCAUUUUAUUUCGCACAUCAAUAUGUAAAUGUAAAUUGUUUUACAUACCAAUUCAUAGAUAAUAGAGCAGGAUUGAAUUUUGCAUUUUCGUUGAAUAUUUACUUUGGUCCAAUUUUUUUUUUUCUCUAGCUUGUGUACUUUAAUAUGUACUAUAAUUAAGAUUGAUAGUAUAUUUUUUUAUUUGUUAAAAAAUAUAAAAUUAAUUAAAAAAUUUUUUUAUUAUCAUCACAUAAUAAUUUUUAUUAUUCUAUAUUAUUAUAUUAGCCGUGCAUCGCACGGGUGAAAAUCUAGUUAUUAUUAUUAUUACUACGAUAAAGCAUUUUUGAGUACCUAACGUUUGGGACCAACCGUACAAAAAGGAAAAUUGUACGAAAUUAACUUAAAUUUUAUUUUAUUGGAAAUAUAGCCGUAAAUUUUUUUAAAAAUGUUUUGAUUUAUUGUCUAUUCUUUCUAAUUUGAGUUUCAUGAAAUUAUUGCCAAUUAUUUACGCAGCUAAUAUGCACUAUGCCUUUUUUUCUUUUCUUUUUUUUUACACUUUAGAAAAUACAGUAUGCCGUAACUGAUCUUUGGUGUAAACUAUAUUUUCAAUUUAGCAAUCGGAAAAAAAAAUAUUUUUUGAAAAUUAAACAUGUGGAUGAAAUAUUAAGGUAUCGCACAAAUAUAACUGCAUAGUUCUUCAGUAAUAAUUAAGCAUAAUUUUAUAGUUUUGGAGGAGUAUAGAUUAAAACCGGAUUAAAGCUAAGCUUUUGGACCAUUCAAAAUAUAGAAAUAUUGCUUCUAACCACCCGGUGCCCAAACAAAGUCAGCUCAGUUGUAAUUUUUAUACUUACAAAUUAAAAUGGCUGGAAUAAAAUAAGAAAAAUAUUAAGGAUGAAUAAAACCCUGGUUCACACCUGUUUGGAUGCACCAGGUGUGGGUAGUGAUUUUUCAUGAACCAAAAUCAUAUAGUGUUAAAGAAUAGCGAGAAAAAUUAAAUUAAAAUUUUUAAAUAUUAGGUAAUUAAUUUCAAAUGAUAAAAAAUUCAGAUUAAUUACACAUAUUUUUAUCUCCCAAAAAUAAAACACACAACAACAACAAUAACAUGACCUCUGCAAAGAAGGGUCUUUCUUCGUCAUGAACAACAGGGCAUCCCUCUCUACCUUGAUCCGAAUUUGGUUGAUUAAGAGAAAAAAAAUUUUGAGCUCCCAAUAGAUAGAAAGAAACAUGGCUGCAUAUAAUUGUGGAGGGAAGGAUUUCUUUUUUUUUUUUUUAGAAAAAAAGGAGACAAAGCCUUAAUUAGCAAGAGCUCUUUUUGUACGAAUGAACAAGUGCAUUUAUGUAUGGUGACUUGGUCACGUUUUUAAGUUUCCUACAUGUAUUGCUUGGAUCCAUUAGUGAUAUUUACAGUUUGUAAUGGAUUGAUUCAUUAAGCAGUGCAGUCAAUUUGUUGUUGGAUGUAUGCUUCAAAAGCUUGGUCUUUCGUCAAAAAAUUAAUUGAAUGGUUCAAGCUAGGUGUUAUGCAAAAAGAUUCAAAUAAAUGGUUCAAGUUAGGUGUUUUUUUUUUUUAUAACAUUAUAAGCAUUGGAUGGAUUUUUGCUUUAAUCUAAAUAGUUUUAGAGUUAGCAGCUUGUUUUGGACACUCUUUAAUACUCGUUUUGGAGAGAAACCAUGCCUUUCUGCCUCUUUGUAUCGAAAUGGACAAGGAAACAGCAAGAUGCAAAGAGCAAAUUUGAUACUUACAAUAGUAUAAUCUAUUUCUCAAUAUCAAAGGAGGGUUUGGGAAUCAAAGGGUGACAUGUGUCGCCCUAAACCCUUUUACUCUCUCUCCACCCAAAACCAAUAACUUGAUAUUUUUAAAAGUAUAGUAGCUAAAUUUUAUAUAUAUCAAAAUUUAAAAUUUUGAUACUUUCAAAUUUUAUAUUUUAUAUUUUAAAAUUUAAAUUUAAUUUAUAAUAUUUAUUUUUAAAAUUUAAAUUUUAAAUUAAUUAAUUAAUUUUAUUAAUAAUUCAUAAUAUAUAAUAUAGUUAAUUAAUUUUAUUAAUAAUACGCAUAAUAAAUUGCGUAAUAAAAUCUAACCUAAUAGAUGCAAUUUAAAUCACGUAAAGUGUCACGCUCCGAGCUCCGCCUAUUUGGUCGGAUUCGGGCACGCCGACAGACCGCCGAACGGACANNNNNNNNNNNNNNNNNNNNNNNNNNNNNNNNNNNNNNNNNNNNNNNNNNNNNNNNNNNNNNNNNNNNNNNNNNNNNNNNNNNNNNNNNNNNNNNNNNNNNNNNNNNNNNNNNNNNNNNNNNNNNNNNNNNNNNNNNNNNNNNNNNNNNNNNNNNNNNNNNNNNNNNNNNNNNNNNNNNNNNNNNNNNNNNNNNNNNNNNNNNNNNNNNNNNNNNNNNNNNNNNNNNNNNNNNNNNNNNNNNNNNNNNNNNNNNNNNNNNNNNNNNNNNNNNNNNNNNNNNNNNNNNNNNNNNNNNNNNNNNNNNNNNNNNNNNNNNNNNNNNNNNNNNNNNNNNNNNNNNNNNNNNNNNNNNNNNNNNNNNNNNNNNNNNNNNNNNNNNNNNNNNNNNNNNNNNNNNNNNNNNNNNNNNNNNNNNNNNNNNNNNNNNNNNNNNNNNNNNNNNNNNNNNNNNNNNNNNNNNNNNNNNNNNNNNNNNNNNNNNNNNNNNNNNNNNNNNNNNNNNNNNNNNNNNNNNNNNNNNNNNNNNNNNNNNNNNNNNNNNNNNNNNNNNNNNNNNNNNNNNNNNNNNNNNNNNNNNNNNNNNNNNNNNNNNNNNNNNNNNNNNNNNNNNNNNNNNNNNNNNNNNNNNNNNNNNNNNNNNNNNNNNNNNNNNNNNNNNNNNNNNNNNNNNNNCUAUAUAAAAAUAUUAAAAAAAUAAAAUUUAUUAUAAAAAUAUUUUUACAUUUGCAGCAUUGCGCGGGUAUUUCACUUGUCUUCUACUAUAUUAAAGGAGGGUUUGAGGAGACCUUGGGGUGACAAAUGUCCCUCGAACCCUUCCCUACUCUCUCUCAUAUAUAUAUAUAUGUAUAUAUAUGUAUAUGUAUAUAUGUGUAUAUAUAUAUAUAUAUGUGUAUAUGUAUAUAUGUGUAUAUGUAUAUAUGUGUAUAUAUAUAUAUAUGUGUAUAUGUAUGUGUAUAUGUGUAUAUAUAUAUAUAUGUAUAUAUAUAUAUAUAUGUGUAUAUGUAUAUAUGUAUAUAUAUGUGUAUAUGUAUAUAUGUAUAUAUAUGUAUAUAUAUGUAUGAAUGAGGGUACUAUGCUAUCGGAAGCACGGAGCCUUCCGUGCUUCCAGCUCGUUUUCGAUGUUGCGAUUUUCGAAUCGUCGAUUGGCUCCGUUAAAAUUGAUCUAGAGUAUUUGAAGUGCCUAGAAAAUAAAUUUUAUUAUUUUUCGAUAUCAUUUGCCUAGUGAUCGAAUGAGCUCAAAAUCAACAAAUUUCAAUGGCCGUAGUGAGCCGUUUGCAAGUUUAACGGUAUAGAAAUAUCCAAAUCACGUGAAAUUUUGAUAGAAAAUUUUUUAUACUAUAUAAAACAAGAUCAAUAUUUUUGAUUUAAAAUUUUAAUGUCAUAUUANCGGCAGGCUGAGUUCAAGCACCGUGAGACAUUCUCGGCCGUCGACGAAAAGGAAAUAGUUGGGAGAUAUGAUGAUAAAGAGAAAAUUGUGAAGCUACUGCUAGAGACGGCCGGCGAUCACGACGUGUCGGUCAUUCCGAUCGUGGGAUUGGGGGGUUUGGGGAAGACGACGCUCGCUCAAAUGGCCUUCAACGACGGACGGGUUACGGGCCAGCAGCGCUUCGAUCUACGGGUGUGGGUCUGCGUGUCUACCGAUUUCCACAUGAAGACGAUUGAUUGCAAAGCCGGUAAUAUCUGCAACCAAAGAGGAGUGUGAUCUUGAUAACUUGGAAUCCGUAGCGAGUUUUCUCCUCAGGAUUUUUAGUCUAAACAGAUUUUUGCUGGUGCUGGACAAUGUAUGGAACGAAGAUCAGGAAAAGUGGGAGAAAUUGAAGGUCUUAUUUAAGGACGGCAAGAAGGGAAGUAAAAUUUUAGUGACCACACGGAGCAAGAAGGUUGCCACGAUAAUGAAAACAGUCGAACCACACCAUGUGAAAGUCUUAUCAGAUGAUGAUUGUUGGACAUUGUUCAAAAGACGGGCAUUUGACGAAGGGGAAGAGAACGACUAUCUGAGCUUGCUCGAAAUCGGAAAGCAGAUAGUUAGGAAGUGCGGCGGUGUGCCUUUAGCAGCAAAUGCUUUAGGAAGUAUGAUGCGCUUUAAGAGCAGGACGGAGGAUGCAUGGUCCGCUAUUAGAGAUAGCGAAAUAUGGAGGUUGGAAGAAGAAGGAACUAUUUUACCAUCAUUGAAAUUGAGCUACAUUCAGAUGCCAUCAGCUUUGAAGCAGUGCUUCGCUUACUGCUCCAUAUUCCCCAAAGACUAUGACAUUGACAAGGAUGACUUAAUCCGGCAAUGGAUUGCUUUAGGCUUCAUUUCAUCGCAUGAAAAAGGGACUUCGAUGGAAGAUAUUGGGAAUGAGUACUUUAACGAUCUAUUAUGGAUGUCUUUCCUUCAACAAGUGUGGGAAAGUUUUAGCAAGGUUACCUGCCGUAUGCAUGAUUUAGUGCAUGACCUCGCACAAUCUGUGGCAAAAGAAGAAGUUGCUGUUAUAGGUGCAGAAGACUAAGCAAGGAUCCCAGAAGGUUGCCGCUAUGCAUCAAUACAGAGUCGUUUCAUGCCACAAGUUUCAAUUACCGUAAUGCGAAGGUUGCGAACUCUUCAAUUUAGGGAAUCUGGUUCACCUAUUAUGAAUUUUUAUAGCGAAGCAAAAUGUUUACGCCUGUUGGAUUUACAUGAUUCCAAAAUUUCUAUGUUGCCAAGCUCAAUCAGUAAGUUGAAGCUCUUAAGAUACCUCAACCUUUCGGAGAACAGUAUACAAGAAUUGCCUAAAUCAAUUACCAGCCUCUGCAACUUGCAAACCUUGAAUCUUUCAGGCUGCCAAAAGAUCCGUACAUUACCCAAAUUUCUAGGAAGGCUUACGAAUUUGCGGAGUUUAGAUUUAAGAGAUUGCAAAUCUCUGACAAUACCAGACUCCAUUAGCAACCUUCAGAAUUUGUAAGCACUAAAUUUGAGUUCGUGCGAAAAGGCGAUAUCACUUGAACCUAUAUGUCACCUCAAAAACCUGCAUUACCUGGCCCUAUCACAUCUAGAUUCUUUGGUGACAUUACCUGAAUCCAUUGGGAGCGUUCAAAACUUGCGUAUUCUGAAUAUUUCUUGGUGCUCUUCUCUACUAUCAUUACCCUCAUCGUUUUGUCAACUCAAAAACCUACAUAACUUAUACCUAUUAUUUCUGACUUCUUUGGUGACAUUACCUGAAUCCAUUGGGAACCUUCAAAACUUGCGUCAUCUGAACCUUAUGUGUUGCUCUUCUCUACUAUCAUUACCCUCAUCGUCAAGUGAUCUUCAGCAUUUAGAGAAACUAGACAUUAGUAAUUGUGAAAAAUUAUGUGAGCUGCCUAAAAUGAUCCAAAAGCUGACCAAACUAAAAGAAUUGUUAAACUCCCAUUGCUCGGAAUUGAAGGGCAUGCCUCGAGGGAUCGGCAAGUUAGUUAGCUUGCAGGAAUUGUCCCUUUUUGUCGUCGGCAAGCAAGACCGCGUCGAACAUUGUGCUAG